rnacentral:rRNA from 1 species
AUUGAACGCUGGCGGCAGGCCUAACACAUGCAAGUCGAGCGGAGCGGCGGACGGGCGAGUAAUUACUAGGAAUCUGCCUGGCAGUGGGGGAUAACGUCCGGAAACGGGCGCUAAUACAGAAUACUAUCAGAUGAGCGUAGGUGGGAUUAGCUAGUUGGUGGGGUAAAGGCCUACCAAGGCGACGAUCCGUAACUGGUCGGAGAGGAUGAUCAGUCACACUGGAACUGAGACACGGUCCAGACUCCUACGGGAGGCAGCAGUGGGGAAUAUUGGACAAUGGGCGAAAGCCUGAUGCAGCCAUGCCGCGUGUGUGAAGAAGGUCUUCGGAUUGUAAAGCACUUUAAGUUGGGAGGCGUUACCAACAGAAUAAGCACCGGCUAACUUCGUGCCAGCAGCCGCGGUAAUAC